rnacentral:rRNA from 1 species
UCCGUAGGGGGCAAUCGUUACUCGGAAUUACUGGGCGUAAAGGGUGAGUAGGCGGCUGAGCAAGUCAAGGAUGAAAGCCCGAGGCUCAACUUCGGAACUGUCCUUGAAACUGCUCAGCUUGAGGGUAGUUGAGGAGAGUGGAAUUCCCGGUGGAGCGGUGAAAUGCGUAGAUAUCGGGAGGAACACCUGAGGCGAAGGCGGCUCUCUAAGCUAUUCCUGACGCUGAAUCACGAAAGCUAGGGGAUAAAACGGG